UACUUCCGACGCUCAAAACUUAGGGCCCGUUUGUUUUGGUGUAAGUGGAGUGAUGGAACUCAAGUUCCAUCACUUCUGUUAUUUGUUUUGAUGUAAGUGAAAAAUAUAAUGUAACUUAAAUUACGUUAGAGCUCCACUUCACCUACUCUCGACUUCCUCCUCUAAAGUGCCGAACUUGACUUUCACUACACUCAACCUCCUCUAAAAAAAUUUAUUAAAUAGUAAAACCUAAACUCUACUUCCUUUAUAAUGGGUUAGAAUUACCUUAUUUAUAAUAAAUUAGAAUUAUCUUUAAAUAAUAAUAAAAAAAUUAAUUAUAUAAUAGAUUAAAUUUUAUAGUGGUAAAUUUACAACUAUAUUUAGGAGAUAUUGAGAUCCACUUACUUACAUUAAAACAAACAACGGAACUCAAAAAACUAAUUUUACCAGCACCAAGUUACAUUAAAACAAACAACAGAAGUGAUUGAAUUUAACUUUCAAGCGAUACAAGUUACGUCAAAACAAACAACAAAAAAAUAAUCACACUUUAGGGAAACUCAAACACCACUACACUUGACUUACGUUGAAUCUACAAAUACGUCAAUCCAAACGCCCCCUAACCAAACAGACUCUAAGGCAUGUUUGUUUGGAUGGAAAUGGGGUGGAAGUGGAGGGGAGGGAAGUCGUUUUCGUCCUAAACGAUCAUUUCCGUUGUUUGAUUCGCCGUAAAAAAGUUACGGUCGAAACUCGAGUUAAUCUCAAACGGCAUAAUUAAAUUAAAUUUUAAUUAUAAAAAAUAUAAUUAUAUUAUUUUUAUUUAUUAAAAUAUUUAUUAUCUAUAUGUAAAUUAUAGCUUUAUAUUAUACACUUCCUACCAAACAAACAGCAGAACUGAUGGAACUUCACUUCCAUAACUACGAAACAAACAGUGGAGAAGAAGUAGUUUUCAUCGAACUCCAGUUCAACCCAAAGUCCACUUUAAUUUAAAGUCCAGUUUCGCUAAAACAAACAUGCCCUAAAUGAAAGAAACUG
rnacentral:lncRNA from 1 species